UACGAAGGGGGCUAGCGUUGUUCGGAAUUACUGGGCGUAAAGGGCGUGUAGGCGGUCCGCUAAGUCAGGUGUGAAAGGCCUGGGCUCAACCCAGGAAAUGCGCCUGAGACUGACGGACUUGAAUCCGGGAGAGGAUGGUGGAACUCCCAGUGUAGAGGUGAAAUUCGUAGAUAUUGGGAAGAACACCCGUGGCGAAGGCGGCCAUCUGGACCGGUAUUGACGCUAAGGCGCGACAGCGUGGGGAGCAAACAGG
rnacentral:rRNA from 1 species